UACGGAGGAUUCAAGCGUUAUCCGGAUUUAUUGGGUUUAAAGGGUGCGUAGGCGGUCGGAUAAGUUAGAGGUGAAAUCCCGAGGCUCAACUUCGGAAUUGCCUCUGAUACUGUUCGGCUAGAGAGUAGUUGCGGUAGGCGGAAUGUAUGGUGUAGCGGUGAAAUCCGUAGAGAUCAAGAGGAAUACUCAUUGCGAAGGCGACCUGCUAGAACAUAACUGACGCUGAUGCGCGAAAGCGUGGGGAGCAAACAGG
rnacentral:rRNA from 1 species